rnacentral:rRNA from 1 species
UACGGAGGGUGCAAGCGUUGUUCGGAUUCAUUGGGCGUAAAGGGUGCGUAGGCGGCGUGGUAAGUCGGGUGUGAAAUUUCGGAGCUUAACUCCGAAACUGCAUUCGAUACUGCGGUGCUUGAGGACUGGAGAGGAGACUGGAAUUCAUGGUGUAGCAGUGAAAUGCGUAGAGAUCAUGAGGAAGACCAGUGGCGAAGGCGGGUCUCUGGACAGUUCCUGACACUGAGACACGAAGGCCAGGGGAGCAAACGGG